GAGAAAUCGGGGCCAGCUGGCGGGGGAAAACGGGGGGGGCAAGCGUUAAUCGGAAUUACUGGGCGUAAAGCGUGCGCAGGCGGCUUAUUAAGUCAGAUGUGAAAUCCCUAGGCUCAACCUAGGAACUGCAUUUGAAACUAAUAAACUAGAGUAUCGUAGAGGGAGGUAUAAUUCCAGGUGUAGCGGUGAAAUGCGUAGAUAUCUGGAGGAAUACCAGUGGCGAAGGCGACCUCCUGGACGAAAACUGACGCUCAAGCACGAAAGCAUGGGGAGCAAACAGGAUUAGAUACCCCAGUAGUC
rnacentral:rRNA from 1 species